CAGUAGCAUUAACACAUUUAGCCCUCUCUCCCCCAUUUGUGGACUGAAAGACUUUGUUCCCUGAUAAAAGGAUUCCAAACAGGUGAUGAAUGAGAAGAGAAUUGGGGAGAGUGGAUU
rnacentral:miRNA from 1 species